UACGUAGGGCGCAAGCGUUGUCCGGAAUUAUUGGGCGUAAAGAGCUCGUAGGCGGUUUGUCGCGUCUGCUGUGAAAUCCCGAGGCUCAACCUCGGGCUUGCAGUGGGUACGGGCAGACUAGAGUGCGGUAGGGGGAGACUGGAAUUCCUGGUGUAGCGGUGGAAUGCGCAGAUAUCAGGAGGAACACCGAUGGCGAAGGCAGGUCUCUGGGCCGCAACUGACGCUGAGGAGCGGAAAGCAUGGGGAGCGAACAGG
rnacentral:rRNA from 1 species